rnacentral:rRNA from 1 species
GACGAACGCUGGCGGCGUGCCUAAUACAUGCAAGUUGAGCGCUGAAGGUUGGUACUUGUACCAACUGGAUGAGCAGCGAACGGGUGAGUAACGCGUGGGGAAUCUGCCUUUGAGCGGGGGACAACAUUUGGAAACGAAUGCUAAUACCGCAUAAAAACUUUAAACACAAGUUUUUAGUUUGAAAGAUGCAAUUGCAUCACUCAAAGAUGAUCCCGCGUUGUAUUAGCUAGUUGGUGAGGUAAAGGCUCACCAAGGCGAUGAUACAUAGCCGACCUGAGAGGGUGGUCGGCCACAUUGGGACUGAGACACGGCCCGAACUCCUACGGGAGGCAGCAGUAGGGAAUCUUCGGCAAUGGACGAAAGUCUGACCGAGCAACGCCGCGUGAGUGAAGAAGGGUUUCGGAUCGUAAAAAUCUGUUGGUAGAGAAGAACGUUGGUGAGAGUGGAAAGCUCAUCAAGUGACGGUAACUACCCAGAAAGGGACGGCUAACUACGUG